rnacentral:rRNA from 1 species
AUUGAACGCUGGCGGCAGGCCUAACACAUGCAAGUCGAACGAGUGGCGGACGGGUGAGUAAUGUCUGGGAAACUGCCCGAUGGCGGGGGAAAACUACUGGAAACGGGAGCUAACACCGCAUACUAUCGGAUGUGCCCAGAGGGGAUGAGCUAGUAGGGGGGGUAACGUCUCACCUAGGCGACGAUCCCUAGCUGGUCUGAGAGGAUGACCAGCCACACUGGAACUGAGACACGGUCCAGACUCCUACGGGAGGCAGCAGUGGGGAAUAUUGCACAAUGGGCGCAAGCCUGAUGCAGCCAUGCCGCGUGUAUGAAGAAGGCCUUCGGGUUGUAAAGUACUUUCAGCGAGGAGGCGUUACUCGCAGAAGAAGCACCGGCUAACUCCGUGCCAGCAGCCGCGGUAAUUC